rnacentral:rRNA from 1 species
GCAGAGACCAACCCUCGUACCUUUUGCAUCAUGAUUCUGCCAGUAAACGCAAGCAAAGAGCCCUCUAGUUUGCACCCCCGAAACUUGACGAGCUACUCCGAGACAGUCAACAAUGGACUAACCCGUCUCUGUGGCAAAAGAGUGGGAAGAUCUCCGAGUAGAGGCAAAACCCCUACCGAGCCAAGUUAUAGCUGGUUGCCCAAUAAAUGAAUAAAAGUUCAGCCCCGCCAAGCCCCCCUCAAAAUAGUUUUACUAGAAAAGACAAAGAGCUCUUUGCGGGAGUUAAUCAGAGGAGGUACAGCUCCCCUGAUAAAGGACACAACCUUUAUAGGAGAUUUAAGAACAUUUUUAAUUAAGGCCCCAGGUCCUGGUGGGCCUGAAAGCAGCCAUCCAAACAGAAAGCGUUAAAGCUCAGACCUCAAAAAAGCCUUUUAUACCAUUCUUUAUUCUUAUAUCCCUACAACCCAUUGGGCCCCCCUAUGCCCCCAUAGAGGGGAUUAUGCUGAAACUAGUAACAAGAAGCAAGAACUUCUCCCUGCACAAGUGUAAGUCGAAUUGGACAAACCAUCGACAAUUAACGAACCCAACAAAAGAGGGCCCUAUAUCCCCGCCCAUUUUAGCCAAGAAAAACAUGUACCUUUGUAUCGUUACCCCCACACAGGAGUGCUAUUUUGAGGAAAGACUAAAAGAAGGAAAAGGAACUCGGCAAACUAAAACCCCGCCUGUUUACCAAAAACAUCGCCUCUUGCAUAAAAAGUAUAAGAGG